GUCCACGCCCUAAACGAUGUCAACUGGUUGUUGGGGAUUAACUCCCUUAGUAACGAAGCUAACGCGUGAAGUUGACCGCCUGGGGAGUACGGCCGCAAGGUUAAACUCAAAGGAAUUGACGGGGACCCGCACAAGCGGUGGAUUAUGUGGAUUAAUUCGAUGCAACGCGAAAACCUUACCUACCCUUGACAUGUCAGGAACGCCGCAGAGAUGCGGCGGUGCCCGAAAGGGAACCUGAACACAGGUGCUGCAUGGCUGUCGU
rnacentral:rRNA from 1 species